UACGGGGGGAGCAAGCGUUGUUCGGAUUUACUGGGCGUAAAGGGCGGGUAGGCGGCCACCGCAAGUCGACUGUGAAAUCUCCGGGCUUAACCCGGAAGGGUCAGCCGAUACUGCGGGGCUAGAGUGCAGAAGGGGCAACUGGAAUUCUCGGUGUAGCGGUGAAAUGCGUAGAUAUCGAGAGGAACACCUGCGGCGAAGGCGGGUUGCUGGGCUGACACUGACGCUGAACUGCGAAAGCUAGGGGAGCGAACGGG
rnacentral:rRNA from 1 species